rfam:Xenopus tropicalis strain Nigerian Chr08_contig_2406, whole genome shotgun sequence.
ACAAAGGCUCUUUUCAGAGCCCCAGCAUCGGCUAAAGAGGGCUGCAU